ensembl:lncRNA
UAGCUAGCUAUGCUUUGCUCUUGUCAGCACUUUCUGUUCUGGAGGCUGAAUUGGAGGUGUGCAGAGCUGGUGACUCUUAGGGGUCCCAGAACAAGUGAGAACAGUCGAAGAGCCACAGUCACCAUCUUGGUUUCAGAGAGGCCAAAUCAGCUCGUCUCUUCAUUUAUCCAGAACCGUGAUGUAUACUGAUUGUUUCUAAGUGCCUGCUCGUGCACCUGCUGCCUCAGAAUCACCCCAGCUUUGUGAAAAUGUGCAGUGAAUUGCCAAGACCAGGAUGUUCUUCAUCACGGACUUCUGAGGAGAUAAGAUUUAAUUUGCUCUUCUGUUGGCCUUGUUGGGGACCCAAAUACUGGGCAAUCUCAACCUAAGACAAAUAAAAUGUUUCCCGAGAAUCCACAGAUGACAUAUACUGCACCAUCAGAGGGCAGAGGCUGCUCCGAUAUCACGCAGCAUCAAGAGCGGUAUGUUCUCCCAUGGGGAAGGGGUGUGUGCACAGGCACAUGUUGGAUUCUUUUUGGGGCUUGUUGUUUUGUGUAUUUUGUUGUUGUUGAGCCUAAAAUAAAUGGCUGGGAACAGAACAGUGGGGUUUUAAACGCAGUUAGAGGAACAUAGCAGGGAAGAUGCAGUAUGCCAGGCUGGUGGAGGAGCAAGAUUUUCUAAAGACGGGGAGGGACUAGAUGACCUUUCAGAGCCCUCCAGUCUGAAGAUCUUAGGAUUCCACGCACGUCUUCUGUCUAGACAUGAAGUGCUGAUGCUCCUGCUUUUACUGCUGGAAAGUGGGGAAAAGUCUAAGUGCUCCACCUACAGUCUGAUCCUAGAAACUACUCAGCCUCAGCCAGGAAAAAGAAAACAAAACCAACAAAACGGGAGAAAAAAACCCACUGGGAAGAAUGCGAUUUCAGAGUCUACCACAAAGAAUAUUCCCCCGAAAUUAUACUUCUUUAGUCCAGGCUUUCAAAGCGACUGUAAUUUUAAUGUCUGUGUUUUGCACAGUUAUCAGUAUUCAUUCAUAUAUCUAAGGUCUAAUGUGUAAGGCCAUUUCAUGAGAAAAGGAAGAGAGAGAAAAUUUGGCUCUUCCUUUGACAAGUGAGGAACGCAGACCUGGAGCGGUCAGUCAGCUGUCCAUGGUUGUACAGGGCCCCACUGUGUUCUGACUGCCGAUAAGACAGAGAUGUGAAGAUUUCUAUACUUUUGAGACUGACGCAACAUUGCAGUGCUGUCGUCAAACGUUCUAUUUCAAAUUCUUUCUACAUUAUAUUCCAGGCCACUCAAACACACCUGGUCCCUCUUCUGGCCUCCUCGCCUUCCUAACUUCUGUCCUUAUAACCUUCCUCCCAAUUCUGUACCUUUCCAGAUCUUGUCAGGCUCAGGUCACAGCAGGCCUGCUAUUCUUUUUCAAACACACCGAAUACUCUUCUCUCAGAUACCCACCUGGCUUGCUCUUUCUUUUCAUUCAGGUCUCUGCUCAAAUGUCACCUCCUCGGAGACGGCUUCCUGAGCUACCUUAUCUAAAACACCACCCGAUGAGUUCUUCAUUCAUUAUUUUUUAAACACCAAUUAAAUAUAUUUUUAAACUUUUAUCCCUUUUGAGGUGUAAUGCAUAUACUGAACAGUGCAUGAAGCACAAAGGCCCCCUCAACUGCUGGGCUCCAGCUCCCGGGCCGCUGUCACUGACAUGGAAGUCUUCUUUACUUGACCCCAUCUGAUGGCUUAGGAUUGAAUUAUUGAGAAAGAGGAAGACAGGACGAGGAAGAGCAGAGACCCUUCCAUACAACUUUGAGUCCUUGUUCUUGGUCCACACCAAGUCCUAAGGGUGAGCCCAACACAGGCCUUUCUCCAUCACAAAGCACCUAAUUUCUAAUGACUACUCAAGCAGCUGUGAGCUUAGCAUCCCUGCAGGGAUGGGAACCUCUCAUGCCAGCCCUUAAUCCAGAAAUCUGAUAAGCAAAUCCCUUAAUUUCCUACAGGAUGGUACUUGGAACAAUAGAAUUUUGUAAGGAUUACCCAUAACUGCCCAAUAAGCGAUUUCACACUCAUCAAGGCAUCACUUUCUCCACAACUCCAGCAUGUAAAAAAGUUUACAGUUGGAGCUGUCCUGCAUGACAUCAUUCUCGUAGUUGCUUUGGAGGGAAUUUGAACACCUGCUUUACUGAUGUUUUGUCUUUCUCUUAACCUUCUCAACAGAGUUAUCCCAACCUACAUACUCACAGUGUGACCUUGAAUAAUUCACCUUAUCUCUUUGGACUUGUUUCUUCUUCUGCAAAUAAAGGGUUGAAGUCAUG